UAACGCGUGGGUAACCUGCCUCAUACAGGGGGAUAACAGUUAGAAAUGACUGCUAAUACCGCAUAAGCGCACAGUCUCGCAUGGGACAGUGUGAAAAACUCUGGUGGUAUGAGAUGGACCCGCGUCUGAUUAGCUAGUUGGUGAGGUAACGGCUCACCAAGGCGACGAUCAGUAGCCGGCCUGAGAGGGUGAACGGCCACAUUGGGACUGAGACACGGCCCAAACUCCUACGGAAGGCAGCAG
rnacentral:rRNA from 1 species